rnacentral:rRNA from 1 species
UACGAAGGGGGCUAGCGUUGCUCGGAAUCACUGGGCGUAAAGCGCACGUAGGCGGCUUUCUAAGUCAGGGGUGAAAUCCUGGAGCUCAACCUCCAGAACUGCCUUUGAUACUGGAGAGCUCGAGUCCGGGAGAGGUGAGUGGAACUCCGAGUGUAGAGGUGAAAUUCGUAGAUAUUCGGAAGAACACCAGUGGCGAAGGCGGCUCACUGGCCCGGUACUGACGCUGAGGUGCGAAAGCUAGGGGAGCGAACGGG